UACGUAGGGUGCGAGCGUUAAUCGGAAUUACUGGGCGUAAAGCGUGCGCAGGCGGUUAUGUAAGACAGAUGUGAAAUGCCCGGGCUUAACCUGGGGACUGCAUUUGUGACUGCAUGGCUAGAGUGUGUCAGAGGGGGGUAGAAUUCCACGUGUAGCAGUGAAAUGCGUAGAGAUGUGGAGGAAUACCGAUGGCGAAGGCAGCCCCCUGGGAUAACACUGACGCUCAUGCACGAAAGCGUGGGGAGCAAACAGG
rnacentral:rRNA from 1 species